rnacentral:rRNA from 1 species
AGCAUUAUACGCGAAACUGCGAAUGGCUCAUUAUAUAAGUUAUCGUUUAUUUGAUAGUGCCUUACUACUUGGAUAACCGUGGUAAUUCUAGAGCUAAUACAUGCUAAAAAUCCCGACUUCGGAAGGGAUGUAUUUAUUAGAUUAAAAACCAAUGCCCUCUGGGCUCUUUGGUGAUUCAUGAUAACUUCUCGAAUCGCACGGCCUUGCGCCGGCGAUGGCUCAUUCAAAUUUCUUCCCUAUCAACUUUCGAUGUUUGGGUAGUGGCCAAACAUGGUUGCAACGGGUAACGGAGGGUUAGGGCUCGACCCCGGAGAAGGAGCCUGAGAAACGGCUACUACAUCCAAGGAAGGCAGCAGGCGCGCAAAUUACCCAAUCCCGAUUCGGGGAGGUAGUGACAAUAAAUACUGAUACAGGGCUCUUUCGGGUCUUGUAAUCGGAAUGAGUACAAUUUAAAUCCCUUAACGAGGAACAAUUGGAGGGCAAGUCUGGUGCCAGCAGCCGCGGUAAUUCCAGCUCCAAUAGCGUAUAUUAAAGUUGUUGUGGUUAAAAAGCUCGUAGUUGAACCUUGGGCCUGGCUGGCCGGUCCGCCUCACCGCGAGUACUGGUCCGGCCGGGUCUUUCCCUCUGUGGAACCCCAUGCCCUUCACUGGGUGUGGCGGGGAAACAGGACUUUUACUUUGAAAAAAUUAGAGUGCUCCAGGCAGGCCUAUGCUCGAAUACAUUAGCAUGGAAUAAUAGAAUAGGACGUGUGGUUCUAUUUUGUUGGUUUCUAGGACCGCCGU